AAGCCAGCCAAUGAAUCUGCUUACCUGAAUGUGUUUCUGCAGAAAUUUUUAAAAAGCUGGCAAUGGGAAAGCCAUGCUAUGAGUCUUAAGGACACUGAAGUUAUUAAGGUCACUGAAAAUGGCUAUACCA
rnacentral:snoRNA from 1 species